CCUACGGGUGGCAGCAGUAGGGAAUUUUGCGCAAUGGGCGAAAGCCUGACGCAGCAACGCCGCGUGAUCGAGACGCCCUUCGGGGUGUAAAGAUCUGUCAGUGGGGACGAAACUUGACGGUACCCACAGAGGAAGCUCCGGCUAAUUCCGUGCCAGCAGCCGCGGUAAUACGGGGGGUGCAAGCGUUGUCCGGAUUCAUUGGGGGUAAAGAGUGUGUAGGCGGCACGUAAAGUCAGGUGUUAAAGGCAGAGGCUCAACUUCUGUACGGCAGUGGAUACUUGCAAUCUAGAAUGCGGUAGAGGUGAAGGGAAUUCCUGGUGUAGCGGUGAAAGGCUUAGAUAUCAGGAGGAACAUCGAUGGCGUAAGCGGUUUACUGGGCCGUAAUUGACGCUGAGGAACGAAAGCGAGGGUAGCAAAUAGGAUUAGAUACCCGAGUAGUC
rnacentral:rRNA from 1 species